AAAGAAAAUGGAAACAGCAGAGUUCUGUAUGAGUUCCAAUUUCUUUAUAUGUUUUUUGGGGAGACCAGUAAAAAGUGCAUUGCUGUAGUCUAACCUGCU